ACUCAAAUGAAUUGACGGGGACCCGCACAAGCGGUGGAGCAUGUGGUUUAAUUCGAAGCAACGCGAAGAACCUUACCAGGUCUUGACAUCCCGAUGACCGGCCCGUAACGGGGCCUUCUCUUCGGAGCAUUGGAGACAGGUGGUGCAUGGUUGUCGUCAGCUCGUGUCGUGAGAUGUUGGGUUAAGUCCCGCAACGAGCGCAACCCUUAUCCUCAGUAGCCAGCAGGUAAAGCUGGGCACUCUGUGGAGACUGCCAGGGAUAACCUGGAGGAAGGUGGGGAUGACGUCAAAUCAUCAUGCCCCUUAUGAUCUGGGCUACACACGUGCUACAAUGGCGUAAACAAAGGGAGGCAAAGCCGCGAGGUGGAGCAAAUCCCAAAAAUAACGUCUCAGUUCGGACUGCAGUCUGCAACUCGACUGCACGAAGCUGGAAUCGCUAGUAAUCGCGAAUCAGAAUGUCGCGGUGAAUACGUUCCCGGGUCUUGCACACACCGCCCGU
rnacentral:rRNA from 1 species